UAUUUAUAAACAUUAUGUUAACAUGAACAAUAUUUAUAUAGCAUUCAUUCAUGUCAGUUAAUAUUCCAAACUUAAACAUGAAAACAUUGUUUUAUUGUGACUUUUUUCCAAGUACAUUUUACCAAUUCCAAACCAUAUCAAUCUUAAUAACUACCAUUAUUUUUUAUUUAAUCAUUUAUGAGUGCUAUACAAUAGUCCAGGAAAGCUGGAAGAGAAAAACUCCUUGGGCCCUAUCUUGCACCCAGCGCAAUUGACUUUGUACACCGACGCAUGUGUCAUUCCUAUUUUGCACCUGCGCAAAGCGCGCUUUUCCCUCCACAGAAGAACGUCGCUAAACUAGUGAAUGAACUUGCGCUCCCUGGGCGGUUCAGCGCAAAAAAGGAGGCUUGUUCCGGCGCAAACAAUCCCUGGUGCUAUUUUGCUGUUCCAUUAAACAAUUGCGCCACUGACCAGAAAAAACCUAGUCUAAAGUCAAACGCGUUGUUCAUUAUGCUGUUUUAAGGGCGCAUGCUUGACCAUAAUGUAUAGCGUGCACAACGCGCAUACACUUUGCUCAUGUAAUCUACACAGAUGCAACAGUUAUUUUUGCAAAUCAUAAAUUGUUACACUAAAAAAAUAUUAACACAUGAGAUGACGGAAAUCAUGACGCUAUUUUGGGUGGGUUUCUCCCAUCCUCAUACAACACAACUUCUCUGUCUUUCACUGCUCUUACAAGAACAUCAGUCUCCUCGGCUGUGAACCGCUCCUGGCGUGCGCCUGGUAAAUACGCCAUAAUAGCAAUCCAUAAUGGAACUUGCGCACCUGCUUUUAAAGGGAAUGUUGGAUGACGCUCUGAUUGGUUUAUUUCACGUUACGCCCAAACCACACCUAUGAAUAAUGAAGCUACUUCAGACCAACCCAUUUUAGAUUUGCGCCGGGCGCAAGAGCCAUUUAUCCCGCCGGGAAAAUAGCAACAGCGCCGAGACCCGCCCACAAAGUUACUUGCGCUUCGCGCUUUGACACUUGCGUUUCAGAUCGUUUAAAUAGGGCCCUUAUAUUCAUGUGUGCAGAAUUAUUAGGCAUGUUUUCUUUUACAGAUGAAAUGCGCUAAAAUAGAGUUUUAACUCAAACUGUAAGGUCGAAAAUUAUGAAAUACCCAUGAGAAAUAUCAAACACAAAUGCAAUACAGAAAUUGAUAAGUUAAGACUUGACCAUUGUACAAAAAAUGCUGACUGGGUCAUGAGGUCAGAAAAGAAGAAGAAAAAAGCAGGUCAAGAAGAACUGACAACACACACACACACACACACACAUUACCCACAGUGACAGUGGGACUGAGUGACAUCAGAUGUAUGAUAGUUUUUUAAUUUUCUAUCAUCCAUAUAGUGUUGUAUAGUCAUGAAACUAUGCAUAUUUCCUCAGAAUGACUUGUCUUCUAUGUGUACAUUUUUUUUUAAGUGUUUAGAAGCUGCACUUUAAAAAAAUAAAAAGACAUUUACUGGUUCCUUUUUUACCAUUAUUUCAAAAAAUCACCACGACAAAACCAUUCAAGCUAUCCAAAAUUCAUUCACACCUGUUGUGUAAGAUUAAUUCUUUAAACAGUGGUAAAAGAGGAUGUGGUGCUGAACCUUCAAGAGUCACUCAAAACGUAUCUGUCCAUAAAGCCUAUAAAGAAUUAUUCUUAAUAUACAGUUCACAAUACUUCAGCUUGUUAUUCUAAUUAAGUGAGGGUCACUUUAUCAGUAAAAUACAUACAAUUCAUAUUAUUUUUUUGAAAGAUUUCUAUAAAUGAUUUAAAUUAUACUCGUUUCUACAAUAAUUAUUUAAAAGUAAUCCUAUAGCUCCCUCUGGUGGCCAUUAUUGGUACUAAGAAUUGCAAGCUUGAUUUAUAAGUUAUGAUAGUUUUAAUUUUAUGCUGGCUCUUGAAAAUGAUAAAGCUUUGAAACUUACUGUGCUUCCUUCAAAUGAUGACUUCUACUUAUAUAAAAAAUUAUGAAGAGUUAGAAUGAAACAUUUUAAAGAUAUAGUAAAAUAACUAUUGUAUUUUUUAUGUUACUUUAAUAAAUCUCUAUGGCAACACCAUUUAAGCUAUCCUAAACCCAUUCACAAUUUCAGUAUAUUGGCAUCAUGUUGAAAAAGGAGUAUGGAGUAGUAUGAGGAGGAGUAUGAAUUCAUUUACAGGCUGAUUUUUUCAUAAAUCCACAAUAAAAUUUCUGAUUUCUGUAUCAAUCUGUGUUGUUGUUUGUUUAUUUUUAUCUUUUAUUUUUCAUAGGAAGAUAACUGACCCUUUACUCUCCUUUUUAAUAAAUGUGCUUAUAAACCAAGGACAAGCUAUUUAUAGCUGUAUUUAUAAACUGCUUACUACUGACUAUUAAUAUUGGGACAAGGCUUUAUAAAGCAUGAACUGACUAUUUACUAAUGAGUGCAGUUAUUAUAAAAUGUUAUCAAUGCAUUUGCUAAUGUUAACAAAUUAGACAUUAUUUUACAGUUAUCAAAUCCUUAAAUGACUCAUAAGCAUUUGUGAAAGUUCUGCUUGCAUUACAGCUUAGUAUUGAUCUGUGAGCUGAACAGAUUUACUGUUACAUCCAUGAGAUUUUGUAAAUUCAAAUAAAUAUAAUGUUACAGGAUGUCAUAGGUCAGUAUCAAAUGAGUUUGAAAUUAUUAUUUGCAGCACAAAUAAGGUUUUUUUUAGGAUUUUUAAAAAUCCCUAAAACUGUCAGAAAAAGGAUAAGGCCUAAGCUAUUUAUAUGUGAGUGGCUAAAUUUAUUUUUGUUUUUAUAAUUGUAAUACACAAACUAUGAAAUUAUACAAAAUGUAUAAAAAGGUAAAUAAAUAAAUACGCACACAUUAAAAAAGCAGCCAAGUCGAAUGAGUUUCCUUUUUUAUAUAGAUUAAAAUUGAAGACAGAAGCAAGUGGUAAAUGUGGUCACUUUAAUAUUCAAAUCCAGUAGAUCCAGUUUAUGUUCACGUGGCUGUUUUCGUUUAUAUUCGCCAAGCUAUUAUGUAUUUUGAAAUAAUCUUGUCCGUGAUGUGUUCGUUCGUACGACGAAAGACAGAAUCCUGCAGCUCGAGAGAUAUAUGUUAUUCUGCCAGUCGCGCUUUCAAAUAGUCUUGCACACUUAAACGGGUCACAAACACCUGCAUUUAGCUCUUGUAGUGUUACAAUGGGUUUAUUGUGUGCAUUUGUGGUAAUAUUUUAUUUAAAAAAGCUCUUAAACAAGAAUAAAUUCGUUUGUUUUGAGCUCGACACUGUACGCGCUGAUCGGAGGCGGUGAUUUCAGAUAGGCAGCCACAAAUAUUUCAUUUUCACACAAACAGUUCAAAAACAUCUGAAUUUAGCUCUUGGUGUGUUCUAAUUGGUUGAUUGUGUGAUAUCGCUGUAAUAAUUUAUUUUUAAAAGCUUUAAAACAGGAAUAAAUUCGUUUUCUCUGAGCUCUUUACUCCAGACGCUCGUGAUCACAGCGGUGAUUCAUCUCUCCUAUUUCUCACGUAUCUCUGGCCAGAAAUAAUUUAUCCAUGAGCCCUGAACCGGUAAUAAUCAGAUAUGUUGGUUUAGCUUGUCAGUGUGAAUUAAAUCUAAGUAUUUAUUUGUAUUUUUAACCGAUUUAAAAGUGAAAGUAAAAGUCCGGGAAUUGAACCUGUAGGGGCGCUAUUUCUCUCAGACAAUGGAAGUCUAAGCACAUAUACUCAAACUGAGGGACAGAGUGAGAUGAGAUGUUUGACAGUUUUUUAAUUUUCUGUUAUCCAUACAGUGUUGUAAAGCCGUGAAACUAUGCAUAUUUCCUCAGAAUUACUUAUUUAUCUGUAUGAAAAAAAUCUUUGACGAGUUUGGAAGCUGCAAUUUAAAAAUACAAUAAUGAUUCCCUUUGUAAGGUCAUUUAAAAAAAUCACCACGGCAAAACCAUUCAAGCUAUCCAAAAUCCAUUCACAAUUUAAGUUCCUAUCAGAAAUACUGAUGUGUGUUCAGAGUUUUGUGAAAUUCUAAGUAUGUUAUUUGCCUCAAAAUCACCUGAGAAGUAUUCCAGUUUGACAUGUUGCCACGCCAACAAUUUUUUAGAUAUCAAUAUCCCCCUUGCAGAUUUAUAUCGGCUGUGUUUUAACAUUAUUCUGAUGAAGUUUGAAGCAAAUCGAGUAAUAAUAAGAUGCUGAAUUCAAAUCAUUUUGAAAAUGACACACUUCCUUCUGCCAGUUGGUGGCGCUAUAACUUUGACUCCUAAUAGUCACAUAUAUGCGAUCGACAUCAUACAACGAAUAAUCUGAUGAAGUUUGAUUAAAAUCAGGAAAUGUAUGUGGACGGUAUUAGACACUUCCUGUUUCUCAUUUCUCGCCAUAAUUUCAACGCCUCGCUAUGAGCAAACCGUUCGAGAUAUCAAAAAUCCCCUGGCAAUUUUUCAUCCCCAGUGUCUUGAGAUCAUGUUGACCGAGUUUGGCGGCAAUCGAGAAAAAAACCUAUGACAAGUAUUUCAAAUUCCAGAGCAUGUGCUUUUUACAUAACUCUAAAUAGCUGACUUCCUGAUGGGCGGAGCCUAUGACAUGCAAUACGACAGUUGUUCGGCACGAUGAGAUCUAUAUGUGUACUGAGUUUCAUAUGAAUAUGUGCAAGUAUGUGUGAGCUAUACAUCAACAUUUCUGACUGUGUUCCAGGGGGCGCCGUAGAGCCCCUGUGCCACGCCCGGGUACCAGCCUCUGCAGGCUCCUAAAGGCCACAGAUUCCAAAGUGUGCGCAAAUUUUCAAGAGUU